GCAGCCUCCUGACGAAGACCCGGGACCGGACACAGUAACACCAGCGCCUUGGGGGAGCCACACGUCGAUCCGGUGAUAGCCAGCCGGAGGACACCACCACAACAGAGCCACCAGCAGCAGGAGCAGUGAUGGUGUGCGAGGCGCCACGCACCAGGACGCUACUGGUCAGUCGCCGCGGCGGGUUCCUGGAGGACCCGUUCUUCAGGGACGCCUGGGGGGACUACAAUAACGCUGUCCGGAGGAUCGUCGAUAGGUACACCUCGGCCUACACUUCUCCUGUCUGGUUCAACCAUGGAGGGAUGUUCGCCCCAAGAGACCGUCUGCGGGACUCCCACUACCACACCAUGUACAGGACUCUGCGCUCUGCUCGCAUCAACUACGCCGCGCAGGCAGCAGCCUUCAAGGACCAGGGCGAUGUUUACAAGCUGGUGAUGGACGUGAGGGAGUUCGUGGGGGGAGACCUGACGGUGCGGACGGCUGGGGGAACGCUGUCUGUCCGCGGACGGCUGGAGACGGGAGGGGACGGGGACGGCCAGUCCAGCUCCUCGAAGGCGUCGUCCGCCAGGACUCUUCACCGGAGGUUCAACCUUCCACCGGACGCUGAUGGAGAGAAGGUGGAGUCCACUCUAUCCCGUGACGCUGUCCUAACCGUCACUAUCCCUAAGAGGACUGAUGUGAGAGUGAUCCCUGUGACUGUGGAGGCGGAGGCCGAAGGUGGCAGGAGUGGCACGAAGCGGCACUCUGUCACUCAGCCAGACCCGGGACCAACUCCCAGCAAGAGGCCCCAAGACCCAUACACUCAAGGGCAUCAACACUCGGCCUCCAGAGACAGAAGCACGAGCGGGAGACGACACACCUUCGGGGAGAGUCCGAGCGCGGAACGCAACAGAGACGAAGGGCUGAGGACGAAGGAGACGACCACCAGACGACGAGUCAACGACACAGAUGACGACCUCGACCACAGAAGGAAGAGCUAUCCUGAGGGUGCCACUCCGAGGUCGACCUCUAUCGACGCCGGCGGCAGCAGAAGAAGAAACAGAGACAUAGCGGAAGAUCCGGAAGACAAAGGCUGUCACAGGAGUCGAAGAAGAACCUCAAAAUACGAGGAAGCGACGGAAAUCAACAUCCCGAUCCGCUUAGAGCGUGUGGACGACGCUGAAACCGUUGCCGAGCUUCCAGCCACAAAGGCCUUCCAAGGCCUGGCAACUGCCCGGCCGAGUAUACACAAAGAUGCAGCAAUACGGUCCCAAGAACAGGAGAGCGUCGGGGAGCGACCAGUCGUGCACCAGAAUACUGAGAGUAAGACGCCAAAGACCUCAGGCAACACCUCGUGUGACUUCACUUCUGCCAAAGACAGACCCAACAAUAACAACUUUAGAGACAAGGAGAACAUCAAGCCGUCUGAAGUCAUCACGCCAUGGACAUACUCUAAUAUAUACGUGAAACAAUCUGAGGGCGGCGGAGAGGGCAGCGAGCUCCGGACAAAUGACCCAAAAUUAAAUGUAAACAAAGAGCAAGCCAGCCAGAGGAAAUAUCCCAAGCGUCAGGAGGAGGUUGAGGUGGUGACACCGGACGACACUGUGCCAGCUAGCGCCCAGAUUAACAAACCCCUCCAGCACAAGCCAGAUAAAGAUGGCACUAGAGAGAGUUUCAAGCACCCAGACAUACUGCCUAAACAAAAUAAGGCAGAAGAAAGCCAGAAAAAAACUCCAGAUCACAACAAUUACCUGAGAAAUUCCUCGCAAGACUCGCCACAGAGUCGAGACAAGUCCCCCAUCGUCGGACGCGAAGUGAAGGUCGAGCAGAAGCAGUCAGACAUGGAGGGAGACAUGUUCAAGGACUGUUGGCAGAACUUCAGCAGCACCCUGCAGGAGGUGCUGGCUCGCCUGCAGGAGUUGUCUUCGGAACUGGGACAGUCCAAACCAGCCACCAAGACCUCGCCGUCCUCCUCAGCAGAGAGUUCCGCAAACUCCAGCAGACAGACGCCCCACGACACGCCCAAGGAGCCAUCGAGUACCCAGGUGUCGAGCAGAAACUCACCAAGCGAAGAGGUAUGCGGGUCCCAGAUGAGAAGGGCGUCUGGGGAGAGAGGGUCGACUGUGGGCGUAGGUAAGACGCCGCCCACGACCUGCCCGCCCGUAUAUGCAGACGGGAGGUCACCCACAAGGUCAGGACUUGACACCCAAGGCACCACGCACGCAAAAGACCUGGCCACGCACGCAAGAGACAUCGCAAUGCACGCAAAAGACGUCGCCAAGCACUCCCAUAUACUUAUGAACUCUGCCCAGGAGGGUGAAAGGAGUGGGGCGUCCAAACCUGGUAUUGACGGGCCAUGUGGGCCAUGUGGGCCAUGUGGGCCGCGCCCUCGGCCCACCAGCCUGGACGUGGCCCACCAGGGGUCGCUGCUGAAGGCCCUCAGGAAGAGCAGCCCGGUGGAUGCACUCAAGGACAGAUUUCUGAGUCAGUUGACGCCCACGAGUGAAGGGUCCCCAGCCGGCACAGAUGUGCACUACAUACCUGUGGCCGUGGAGGCCAGCAAGACUGUCCCCACUGCCAGGUGUGUGGACGCCCCCCACACACCUGCUGCAGCGGAGUCCCUCCACACACCUGCAGCGCCCCGCCACACACCUGCAGCAGUGCCCCUGUGUCAGCGGCGAGGCAAGGGCGUGGACAGUCUGCUGAUUGUCGAGGAUAAUGACAGCAGCGUCAGUUCUAGUGAGGAGGAGGCCUCGCCAGGCGAGGAGAGUAGUGAAGCAGCGUCAAGUGAGGGCGGCGGCGAGGGGGCGGCCAAGAGGAGGGACCAGCUGACAGAUAACCUGACAGCUGGCAACUCCAAUGCGCUGGACGGCAGCCUUGACCGGCUGAAGCGCGGCUGUUCCAGUGGCGAGGCUGGCGAGGCUGACUCACCGGCCAGUCUCCGCGGCGUCAGCAGCCAGUCCCUCCGGCUGUCUCCGUCAGACGGCGACGCUGACGUUGACAAGCUUAUCAGUCAAGCUCAACGAGUGAUCAAAGAAACCAGGAGAUUGUCGGCCACUAACGACCCUCCUUUCGUUAACGACCUGGGCCACGAUACAGGCAGGAGAAACAAGUGCGCAGCGGCGGCCGCCGGGUACAACUUGGCGCCAAAUAUCGCCUCGCCCGAGUCUAACUUGGUGGAGGUCGAGGAGGAGUGUGGGGGGGCCGAGGAGACUGUUGUGGAGGGCUGCUUGUCCAUACCCCUCCGUGGGGCACGCCCACGCCGCACCACCACGCCCGUCCGCCCACGGCCAGCGCCGCCCACAGCUGACAACUGCCUACUGAUAGAGCCCCUGGCCGAGGGCGAUGACGUGGCCGAGGAGACUCGGCCGACGAAAGUAACUAGUCCAGAAAUACAGAGCAGUGACGUCAUGGGUUGUGAGAGAAGGGGGGGAGGCGGGGGGCGGCCCUCCCUGCACGGUGAGGGGCGGCCCUCCCUGCACGGUGAGGGGCGGCCCUCUCUAGUGGCUCCCAGCGCCCUCUCACACCAGCGACCACCCUCCGCCCGCGACAGGAUGGGCGGCUUCUUCUCACGCCCGCGCUCUGACCUCCCUCCGCCGCCCACAGCUGUCACCCCGCCCACGCCGCCCACGCCGCCCACGCCCAGGGCGCGCGAGCGCUCCUGCACGCCCCUGGACGAGCCUCACGUACCCUCGUACGUCAGACAGAAGUCAGAACCUUCUAGAAGAUACAGCGGUUUCGGCCACGUCCAACUGGACAAUGUGAGGAAGAUGCGUGAGGCUUGGAGCUCCAAGCAGCAGUCUCCGCCUCGCCAGCACCAGCGGCAGCAGUCUCUGCCUCGCCAGCAGCAGGGGCGGGAGUCUCCCACACGCCACCAACAGCGGCGGGAGUCUCCCACACGCCACCAACAGCGGCAGGAGUCUCCCACACGCCACCAGCAGCGGCAGGAGUCUUCGCCUCGCCAUCAGCAGCGGCGGGAGUCUCCCACACGCCAUCAACAGCGGCAGGAGUCUUCGCCUCGCCAUCAACAGCGGCAGGAGUCUUCACCUCGCCAUCACCAGCGGCAAGAGUCUUCGCCUCGCCAUCAGGAGCGGCAGGAGUCUUCGCCUCGCCAUAAGGAGCGGCAGGAGUCUUCACCUCGCCAUCAACAGGAGUCUUCGCCUCGCCAUCACCAGCGGCAGGAGUCUCCGCCUCGCCAUCAGCAGGGGCGGCGGGAGAAAAGGGUGCCACCCAGCCCGCCGCCCUCGCCCAAGCGGCCGGCUGACACGCCCCUCGCCAAGAACUCGCCCACGCCCGCCAGGCGGUCACCCACGAACAACUACUCCAAGCCAACACUGAGCAGCAGGAACAGGAGCAGCGCCUCGCCUCGCCGCGGCAGCGCGUCCAGCACAGAGGGCGCCUCGCCUGCCACUCGGGAUGGCAGCCGCAGCGCCUCUGCCAGAUCAGGACGGCCGCAGGCAGACAGUUAUAGCUCAGGUGCGGCUGCGGCAGGCAGGCGAGGCUCGCCCGCACGCGCCGCGCGCUCCUCGCCGCCACCAGCCUCGCCCUUCCACCAGAAGUUAUUCCGGCGGUUGAGGAAUGCAAGCCUUCAGCCUGACAGUGAAACUAUAAGCUUUACUGAGGAGGAUGACAGAUACAAGCUGGUGAUGGACGUGGAGGAGUACGUGCCGGGGGAGAUCGAGGUGGUGCAAGAUGACAAGCACUUGACGGUCAAGGGCCGCCUGGAGAGCACGCACGACGGCCACACCACCACCAGGACCUUCAACAGGAACUUCCACAUCCCCCACAACACCAGAGAGGAGGACAUAGACUCCGCGCUCUCCAAAGACGGCAUCCUCACUGUCUAUGUCCCCAAGAAGAAGGAGCGGGUCAUCAAGAUAGAGCUGACGGACUAGCGGUGACCACAACCAUGGAGGGAUUACCUACAGUGUAGGUCCUGUGAAGACAUCCAUGGAGGGAUUACCUACAGUGUAGGUCCUGUGAAGACUACCAUGGAGGGAUUACCUACAGUGUAGGUCCUGUGAAGACUACCAUGGAGGGAUUACCUACAGUGUAGGUCCUGUGAAGACAUCCAGGACAACCAGAAGUCCAGGCUCCAGGACUCUCAACAGGACCACCAU
rnacentral:misc_RNA from 1 species